rnacentral:rRNA from 1 species
GACAGAGGUGCCAAGCGUUAGGCGGAAUCACUGGGCUUAAAGCGUGUGUAGGCGGGGCGUUAAGUGUCUUGUGAAAUCCCCCGGCUCAACCGGGGAAUGGCUGGGCAUACUGGCGAUCUUGAGCAGUCUAGGGGCAGAUGGAACAGACGGUGGAGCGGUGAAAUGCGUAGAUAUCAGGAGGAACACCGGUGGCGAAGGCGGCUACCUGGACAGAGUCUGACGCUGAGGCACGAAAGCUAGGGGAGCAAACAGG